rnacentral:rRNA from 1 species
AUACGUAGGGGGCAAGCGUUGUCCGGAAUCACUGGGCGUAAAGAGCAUGUAGGCGGCUUGAUAAGUCGGAUGUGAAAGUUCACAGCUCAACUGUGAAAUUGCAUCCGAAACUGUCAAGCUUGAAUAUCGGAGAGGUAAGCGGAAUUCCUAGUGUAGCGGUGAAAUGCGUAGAGAUUAGGAAGAACACCGGUGGCGAAGGCGGCUUACUGGACGAAUAUUGACGCUGAGAUGCGAAAGCGU